ACACGUAGGAGGCAAACGUUAUCCGGAUUUACUGGGCGUAAAGCGCGUGUAGGUGGUUUGGUAAGUAGGGCGUGAAAGCUCCUGGGCUCAACUGGGAGAGGACGUUCUAAACUGCCAAGCUUGAGGAUGGUAGAGGGAGGUGGAAUUCCGGGUGUAGCGGUGGAAUGCGCAGAUAUCCGGAGGAACACCAGUGGCGAAGGCGGCCUCCUGGACCACUCCUGACACUCAGACGCGAAAGCUAGGGUAGC
rnacentral:rRNA from 1 species